rnacentral:rRNA from 1 species
AUUGAACGCUGGCGGUAUGCUUAAGACAUGCAAGUCGAACGGUAACAGACCUUCGGGUGCUGACGAGUGGCGGACGGGUGAGUAACACGUGGGAAUCUACCUUGUGGUGGGGGAAAAGCCAGGGAAACUUGGACUAAUACCGCAUACGCCCCAAGGGGGAAAGGCGCAAGUCGCUAUAAGAUGAGCCCGCGUCUGAUUAGCGAGUUGGGGAGGUGAAGUCUCACCAAGGCGACAAUCAGUAGCGGGUCUGAGAGGAUGGCCAGCCACAUUGGGACUGAGACACGGCCCAGACUCCUACGGGAGGCAGCAGUCAGGAAUAUUGGACAAUGGGGGCAACCCUGAUCCAGCAAUACCGCGUGUGUGAAGAAGGCCUGCGGGUUGUAAAGCACUUUUAGUAGGGAAGAUAAUGACGUUACCUACAGAAAAAGCACCGGCUAACUCCGUGCCAGCAGCCGCCGUAA